ensembl:processed_transcript Gm42109 predicted gene, 42109
GGCGAGAAUGGGUCUCCCGUCGCCCGAAUUCAGGACAUCUGGAAAUGAGGUUCAGAACGGGAACUUCAGACUCGUUACUUCUGACCAUUCCGAACACAGAAGCUGCCGUUUCUUUCCUCGUCCUGAGCUUGGCACAAGACCUCUUUAAGGCUAAUGGCUUGGUCACAAGAUAAAGGUGGAGAGAUGUAAGUGCCAUCGACUUGCAGGUCAUCAAAGCACGGCUUUCUGAAGGCGUAGGAGUCGUCGCAGCAGUGGCCCACUCCUGCAUUGACAGGCUUCCCACUGUGACUUCUGCAUAGCUCUCCAAGAACCAGCUUUGCCUUUUCCAGAAGAGAAUUCAAGGAAGAGGGGAACAUGAUUCAAGAAAGGGUUACGGAAGAACCUUCUAUUCCAUUCUUCUCAAAGGCUGAACUUCACCACAGGGCGGAGGAAGGUCCAGUACACUGGCACUGGCUGAAAAAACAAAAAAAAAUUUCCUGCAGUGAAAGAAUCUGAACUCGGGUAGUAGUCAUAUAUUUAAUAAGAUGUUACUAGUGUGGCCUGUGACUUGUACAUGGACUUAGAAACAAGCCCUCUCCUGGGUCCAGGUCUAUCUCUCCUGACCCUGGGCAUCCUUUAUGAAUAUUUUUGAAAUUAUAAAUAUAUUUUUGUGUA